ACCCAGGGCUCACGGCGGACAUUUUGAUUCACUUAGCUCCGGAGACCCUCUCCUCUCUGAGUAAUGGAGAAGAUUAGACUAGUGAUAUUACUAAUACAAUGGAUGGAGAGGGAGCAAGAGGGAGGGAGGGAUGGAGGGAGGGAGGGCCAGGUAGGAAGGAGGGAAGGAGGGAGGGAAGCCUUGGGGCUGUGACGUUGCUAACACAAUGGAGAGGGGGAAAGAGGGGAGGAAGGUGAAGGGGAGAGGGAGAGCGUAGCCUAGAUCUUGAGACGUUUACAGUACAAUGGAGAGAUUGAAGAAAGGGAGGCCGGGAUGGAGGGAUGGCUGGAGAGAGAGAGGGAAGGGAGAGUUAAGCCUUGGACUUGUGACGUUUAUAGUACAAUGGAGAGAUUGAAGAAGGGAUAGAAAGGAAGAGAGGAAAGGUUGGGUAAAGGGAAAGAGAGCUAGAGAAGAAGAGAGGAGAGUGAAGGGAUAGAAAGGAAGAGAGGAAAGGUUGGGUAAAGGGAAAGAGAGCUAGAGAAGAAGAGAGGAGAGUGAAGGGAUAGAAAGGAAGAGAGGAAAGGGAGGGAGGGAGAAGCUGAGCCUGGAGGACAUUUAAAGAGAGGGAUGAUGAAGGGAGAGAGAGGGGAAAUAGAGAAAGACAGAUGUGAGGGAAAUACAGAAAGACAGGUAGGAAGAUAUAUAGAGUGCAUUCAGAAAGUUUUCCCACAUUUCACAGCCUUAUUCUAAAAUGGAUUAAAUACUUUUUUUUCUCAUCAAUCUACACACCACACCACCGUUUUUUUUUUAAAUGUUUGCAAAUGUAUGAAAAAUAUCAAACUGAGAUAUCACAUUUACAUACGUUUUCAGACCCUUUACUCAGUGCUUUGUUGAAGCACCUUUGGCAGCGAUUAAAACCGUGCGUCUUCUUGGGUAUGACUUUCCAAGCUUGGCACACCAGUAUUUGUGGAGUUUCUCCUGUUCUUCUCUUCAGAUCCUCUCAAGCUCUGUCAGGCUGGAUGGGGAGCGUUGCUGCACAGCUAUUUUCAGGUCUUUCCAGAGAUGUUCCAUCGGGUUCAAAUCCAGGCUCUGGCUGGGCCACUCAAAGGCAUUCAGAGACUUGUCCAAAAGCCACUCCUGCGUUGUCUUGGCUGUGUGCUUAGGGUCGUUAUCCUGUUGGAAGGUGAACCUCCACCCCAGUCUGAGGUCCUGAGCCCCCUGGAGCAGGUUUUCAUCAAGGAUCUCUCUGUACUUUGCUCAGUUCAUCUUUCUCUCGAUCCUGCCUAGUCUCCCAGUCCCUGCUGCUGAAAAACAUCCCCACAGCAUAAUGCUGCCACCAACAUGCUUCACAGUAGGGAUGGGGCAAGGUUUCCUCCAGGCGUGAUGCUUGGCAUUCAAGCCAAAGAGUUCAAUCUUGGUUUCAUCAGACCAGAGAAUCAUGUUUCUGAUGGUCUGAGUGUCCUUUAGGUGCCUUUUGGCAAACUCCAAGUGGGCUGUCAUGUGCCUUUUACUGAGGAGUGGCUUCCAUAAAGGCCUGAUUGGUGGAGUGCUGUAGAAAUAUCUCAGCUGAGCUCCAUUUCGAGUCUCAUAGCAAAAGCUCUGAACACUUAUGUAAAUAAGGAAAUGUACGACCUGGAGUACACCGGCCUUCUCUGCUAUGGAGGUUAAUAUACCAUAUAAACAUUUCUAUAUUCAGCUGUGGCGCUGGAUUUAGAGUCAAGUGGUUGAAGACUCUCUCAUGCUCUCCUUAUGUCUUUAUCAUCACACUGG
rnacentral:lncRNA from 1 species